rnacentral:rRNA from 1 species
AUUGAACGCUGGCGGCAGGCCUAACACAUGCAAGUCGAACGGUAACAGGAAGAAGCUUGCUUCUUUGCUGACGAGUGGCGGACGGGUGAGUAAUGUCUUGGAAACUGCCUGAUGGAGGGGGAUAACUACUGGAAACGGUAGCUAAUACCGCAUAGCGUCGCAAGACCAAAAAGGGGGACCUUCGGGCCUCUUGCCAUCAGAUGUGCCCAGAUGGGAUUAGCUAGUAGGGGGGGUAACGGCUCACCUAGGCGACGAUCGCUACCUGGUCUGAGAGGAUGACCAGCCACACUGGAACUGAGACACGGUCCAGACCCCUACGGGAGGCAGCAGUGGGGAAUAUUGCACAAUGGGCGCAAGCCUGAGGCAGCCAGGCCUGGUGUAUGAAGAAGGCCUUCGGGUCGUAAAGUACUUUGAGGGGGGGGGAAGGGAGUAAAGUUAAUACCUUGGAUCAUUGACGUUCCCCGCAGAAGAAGAACCGGCUACCUCCGU